rnacentral:rRNA from 1 species
GACGAACGCUGGCGACGCGCUUAACACAUGCAAGUCGAACGGAAAGGCCUGCUUUCCCUUGUGGAUUGCGGGUACUCGAGUGGCGAACGGGUGAGUAACACGUGAGUGAUCUGCCCCCAACUUGGGUAUAAGCCUGGGAAACUGGGUCUAAUUCCCGAUAGGACUGCAGGGUGGUGCCUGUGGUGGAAAACGAUUUUCUAGUGGUUGGGGAUGAGCUCGCGGCCUAUCAGCUUGUUGGUGGGGUAAUGGCCUACCAAGGCGGCGACGGGUAGCCGGCCUGAGAGGGUGGACGGCGACAUUGGGACUGAGAUACGGCCCAGACGCCUACGGGAGGCAGCAGUGGGGAAUAUUGCACAGUGGGCGGAAGCCUGAUGCAGCGACGCCGCGUGGGGGAUGACGGCCUUCGGGUUGUAAACUCCUUUCGGCCGCGAGGAAGCCACCUGGUUGGAAGGGUGGUGACGGUAGUGGUAGAAGAAGCACCGGCUAACUACGUG